AGAGUUUGAUCCUGGCUCAGAUUGAACGCUGGCGGCGUGCCUAACACAUGCAAGUCGAGCGGCAGCGCGGGAGCAAUCCUGGCGGCGAGCGGCGGACGGGUGAGUAACGCUUGGGAAUCUGCCUGUUAGUGGGGGACAACCCGGGGAAACUCGGGCUAAUACCGCAUACGCACUACGGUGGAAAGCCGGGGACCGCAAGGCCUGGCGCUAACAGAUGAGCCCAAGUCGGAUUAGCUAGUUGGUAGGGUAACGGCCUACCAAGGCGACGAUCCGUAACUGGUCUGAGAGGACGACCAGUCACACCGGAACUGAGACACGGUCCGGACUCCUACGGGAGGCAGCAGUGGGGAAUAUUGGACAAUGGGGGAAACCCUGAUCCAGCGACGCCGCGUGGGUGAAGAAGGCCUGCGGGUUGUAAAGCCCUUUCAGUGGGGAAGAAAAGUCUCGAGUUAACACCUCGGGAUCUUGACGUAACCCAU
rnacentral:rRNA from 1 species